rnacentral:rRNA from 1 species
GACGAACGCUGGCGGCGUGCUUAACACAUGCAAGUCGAACGGAAAGGCCCUGCUUUUGUGGGUUGCUCGAGUGGCGAACGGGUGAGUAACACGUGAGUAACCUGCCCUUGACUUUGGGAUAACUUCAGGAAACUGGGGCUAAUACCGGAUAGGAGCUCCUGCUUCAUGGUGGGGGUUGGAAAGUUUCGGCGGUUGGGGAUGGACUCGCGGCUUAUCAGCUUGUUGGUGGGGUAGUGGCUUACCAAGGCUUUGACGGGUAGCCGGCCUGUGAGGGUGACCGGCCACAUUGGGACUGAGAUACGGCCCAGACUCCUACGGGAGGCAGCAGUGGGGAAUAUUGCACAAUGGGCGGAAGCCUGAUGCAGCAACGCCGCGUGCGGGAUGACGGCCUUCGGGUUGUAAACCGCUUUCGCCUGUGACGAAGCGUGAGUGACGGUAAUGGGUAAAGAAGCACCGGCUAACUACGUG